rnacentral:rRNA from 1 species
UACGUAGGGGGCAAGCGUUGUCCGGAUUUAUUGGGCGUAAAGAGCGUGUAGGCGGCUUGGUAGGUCCGCUGUGAAAACUCGAGGCUCAACCUCGAGAUGUCGGCGGAAACCACUUGGCUAGAGUCCGGAAGAGGAGAGUGGAAUUCCUGGUGUAGCGGUGAAAUGCGCAGAUAUCAGGAAGAACACCUAUGGCGAAGGCAGCUCUCUGGGACGUAACUGACGCUGAGACGCGAAAGCGUGGGGAGCAAACAGG